rnacentral:rRNA from 1 species
GACGAACCGUGCGAACGUUAUUCGGAAUCAUUGGGCUUAAAGGGCGCGUAGGCGGCGGUGUAAGUUGGAAGUGAAAUCCCAUCGGCUCAACCGUGGAAUUGCUCCCAGUACUGCAUCGCUCGAGGGGGAUAGGGGUUUGCGGAACUACCGGUGGAGCGGUGAAAUGUGUUGAUAUCGGUGGGAACGCCAGUGGCGAAAGCGGCAAACUUGACCCUUCCUGACGCUGAUGCGCGAAAGCUAGGGGAGCAAACGGG